rnacentral:rRNA from 1 species
UACGUAGGAGGCAAGCGUUGUCCGGAAUUACUGGGCGUAAAGCGCGUGUAGGUGGUGGGACAAGUCUGCUGUGAAAGCGCCCUGGCUUAACCGGGGCGAGGUCGGCGGAAACUGUUCGACUCGAGGACGGUAGAGGGGGGUGGAAUUCCCGGUGUAGUGGUGAAAUGCGUAGAGAUCGGGAGGAACACCUGUGGCGAAGGCGACUUCCUGGCCUGUUCUUGACGCUGAGGCGCGAAAGCUAGGGGAGCAACGGGG